GGACGAACGCUGGCGGCGUGCUUAACACAUGCAAGUCGAACGAUGAACCGCCUUCGGGUGGGGAUUAGUGGCGAACGGGUGAGUAACACGUGGGCAAUCUGCCCUGCACUCUGGGACAAGCCCUGGAAACGGGGUCUAAUACCGGAUACUGACCUGCCGAGGCAUCUCGGCGGGUCGAAAGCUCCGGCGGUGCAGGAUGAGCCCGCGGCCUAUCAGCUUGUUGGUGAGGUAAUGGCUCACCAAGGCGACGACGGGUAGCCGGCCUGAGAGGGCGACCGGCCACACUGGGACUGAGACACGGCCCAGACUCCUACGGGAGGCAGCAGUGGGGAAUAUUGCACAAUGGGCGCAAGCCUGAUGCAGCGACGCCGCGUGAGGGAUGACGGCCUUCGGGUUGUAAACCUCUUUCAGCAGGGAAGAAGCGAGAGUGACGGUACCUGCAGAAGAAGCGCCGGCUAACUACGU
rnacentral:rRNA from 1 species